GAGUUUGAUCAUGGCUCAGGAUGAACGCUGGCGGCGUGCCUAAUACAUGCAAGUCGAACGGAGGGUCGCAAGACCCUGAGUGGCGAACGGGUGAGUAACGCGUUGGUACCUGCCCCAAAGCGGGGGAUAACAGGCCGAAAGGCUUGCUAAUACCCCAUGUGCUCCGCAAGGAGGAAAGGUGAAAAUCACUUUGGGAGGGGCCUGCGUCCCAUCAGCUAGUUGGUAGGGUAACGGCUUACCAAGGCGAUGACGGGUAGGGGACCUGAGAGGGUGGCCCCCCACAAUGGAACUGAAACACGGUCCAUACACCUACGGGUGGCAGCAGUAGGGAAUAUUGGUAAUGGACGCAAGUCUGAACCAGCAACGCCGCGUGUGCGAUGACGGCCUUCGGGUUGUAAAGCACUUUUGAUCGGGACGCGCCCAGCACGGUACCGGUCGAAGAAGCCUCGGCUAACUACGUGCCAGCAGCCGCGGUAAAACGUAGGAGGCGAGCGUUAUCCGGAUUUACUGGGUGUAAAGCGCGUGCAGGCGGCUCGGUAAGUUGGAUGUGAAAGCUCCUGGCUCAACUGGGAGAGGUCGUUCAAGACUGUCGGGCUUGAGGAUGGUAGGGGAAGGUGGAAUUCCGGGUGUAGUGGUGAAAUGCGUAGAUAUCCGGAGGAACACCAGUGGCGAAAGCGGCCUUCUGGACCAUUUCUGACGCUCAGACGCGAAAGCUAGGGUAGCAAACGGGAUUAGAGACCCCGGUAGUCCUAGCCGUAAACGAUGUGAACUUGGCGCCUGGCGGGUAAAACCGCUGGGUGCCGCAGCCAACGCGCUAAGUUCACCACCUGGGGACUACGGCCGCAAGGUUAAAACUCAAAGGAAUUGACGGGGGCCCGCACAAGCAGCGGAGCGUGUGGUUUAAUUCGAUGCUACACGAAGAACCUUACCAGGGCUUGACAUGGACGUGGUAGCGAAGCGAAAGCGGAGCGACCCUUCGGGGAGCGUUCACAGGUGCUGCAUGGCUGUCGUCAGCUCGUGUCGUGAGAUGUUCGGUUAAGUCCGGUAACGAGCGCAACCCCUGCUGGAUGUUACAAGUGUCAUCCAGGACUGCCGGUUUAGUGCCGGAGGAAGGCGGGGAUGACGUCAAGUCAGCAUGGCCUUUAUAUCCGGGGCUACACACACGCUACAAUGGCCAGUACAAUGGGUCGCAAAGCCGCAAGGUGGAGCCAAUCCCCAAAGCUGGCCUCAGUUCAGAUUGCAGGCUGCAACUCGCCUGCAUGAAGUCGGAGUUGCUAGUAACCGCGCGUCAGCUAUAGUGCGGUGAAUACGUUCCCGGGCCUUGCGCACACCGCCCGUCACGUCAUGGGAGCUGGCAACACCUGAAGCCGGUAUCCGAACCGUCAGGACGGAGCCGUCGAAGGUGGGGCUGGUGACUGGGACGAAGUCGUAACAAGGUAG
rnacentral:rRNA from 1 species